rnacentral:rRNA from 1 species
UACGUAGGUGACAAGCGUUGUCCGGAUUUACUGGGCGUAAAGAGCGCGCAUGCGGUCGUUCAAGUCGAGUGUGAAAGCCCCCGGCUCAACUGGGGAGGGUCAUUCGAUACUGAUCGACUCGAAGGCAGGAGAGGGUAGUGGAAUUCCCGGUGUAGUGGUGAAAUGCGUAGAUAUCGGGAGGAACACCAGUGGCGAAGGCGACUACCUGGCCUGUUCUUGACGCUGAGGCGCGAAAGCUAGGGGAGCAAACGGG